CCUUUGUACACACCGCCCGUCGCUACUACCGAUUGAAUGGCUUAGUGAGGUCUCCGGAUUGGCUUCGAGAGGCCGGCAACGGCAACUCUUAGCUGAGAAGCUGACCAAACUUGGUCAUUUAGAGG
rnacentral:rRNA from 1 species